GUUCAGCACUCAAUGAUGACUUUUCUUCUUAGGGAAAAAUUGCGGGAAGAAAAACGGAUUAGUAUAAGAAAUAAAGAAUCUGUUGUUGACAUUGUUAGCAGAUGUAUCAUUGUAACAGUAUCCAAUGCUGUGAUGAUGAUGAUACCUUGUAUUAUUUGAAACUCAUAUAAUAUCCACGGAAGACUCAUGUAGCAUUUUUACCUUGGCCAAGUGGUGCUAAGUGGCCCCUGGUUAUAGGAGAGCAAAGCCCCACCAGGCAAAGAAGGGAAACACAAAUGGCUAGAGAUUUUGUUUCCAACUGAUUGUGAAUUUGGUGUUGAUUUCAGCAAUUUACAUGAUGUAAUCAGAUUGACAAUUUGGCAAUGCAUUGUUAGAAAUCAUUGAACAAGUUCGUAUUCCCAUAUGUUUGGUUUAAAUUCAAAGUUGAUGUUAACCAAUUUCUAUUUGAUUAUUUUAUGUUUUUUCUCCUAUGAGAGUGUGAACAACAAAAAAACCUAGGACUAGCAAUUAAUUCAUGAAAUGUAAAAAUUGAAUCAAACAACUGAAAUGAAAUCAAUUGCAACCCUUAAUAAUGAGAAAAAAUAAGUGAAAAUGGAUAGAAAAAGCGAAUCAAUUGCAAACCCAAAUUGUCGAUGAACCCUUGCUCCACCACUACCAUGGUCGACGAAAUGAUGCAACACCGGCGCGAAGCCUUCUGAACUUACAGAUCUAGAAUCUACGGUGUUGGUACUUCUGCGGGUGAAGGUCUCAGGGUUUGAUAUUCUGGACAUGGUGAUCUGUAACCUGGGUUUGGGUGUGACCUCAGAAACCCGUAUGUUGAUAAAGAACAUAAAUUAUUUGAUGUGUUGAAGUUUUUACUUUGAAGGGGUGACCACCGCACCGGAACCCUGCGGUAGAAGAUGAUUGAUGAUUAUUAUAUAAGAAACUUUUAUUUGAACUUUCAUGCUUUUAGACAGUUUGGUUUAAGCCCUAGAGGCUUAAACUUAUUGGUUACCUUGACUUUUCUUGGUAUUUACUUGAUGUUUUGUUUAAUAGACCUAUGGCUUUUUAUUGUUAAUUAUGAGUGUUAUGAAUUUUGAGUUGUUUUAAAUAAUUUUUUUAGCAUUUGUAUAUGCAUUUAUUAUAAAUCAUAACUGAAUUAAAAUUGAAGUAUAGAACCGCUAUAGCAUUUUUGGGUCAGCGACACUAUGUUCCACUAUUCAUGAUUGACAACUAAUUGUAAGAUUUUUCAUUGUACUUGAAAGACACUUGCAGCAACCAACAUGAAAGAUGAAGACCUCACUGAAAGCAUGCAAAAGCUACUUAUUGUUAUGCAAAGACUGGAUGAGAAAAUUGCUCCAAUGCUGGAGGAAGAUGGGGAGCUCUUCAAUUCAAGGUAAGCUCAGAGAAUAGAACUCUCGAUUUUUUUUUGUCUGCCCACAUGGCUAUUUCAAUAACUGAGUUGCCAUGGGAAAGAGUUAUUGGUGAUCUUGUUCUGUCAAUAUGCUCCAGGACGAACAAAGCUUAGACACAGUUCUAUACAUUGUAUUUUUAUUGUUGUCCAAUUACAACAUGACACUUGUGUUGGAAAAUGAGAAGUUGAUAGAAGUUAUAACAUUAUUAAAAAUAUUUAAAAAGUGGGUACCCGAUUUUGUCAUUGCUGCUGGUCUUGCUUUUUGGUCAUUUUACCGCAUGCAUUUGUUAUUCACUUGGAUUAUUUGUCUGCAUUAGGUGGGGCUAUCUAUCUCGUGCUGGACUGUGGGAUAAAAGUCACUUGAUGAGACAAAUUGAAAAGUAAGUGCUUUCUUUUUUAUGCCACUGAUCUCUAUUUUAGCGUGAUUACUCUCUGAAUUCUGAAUUAAUUGAGUUUAAAUUUAUUAUGGCAGAUAUGCUGAUAUUUAUACAUCUAGAGUGUCAAACUUUUUAUAUUACACCCCCUUCAUGUAUUUCCGCUCUCAGGAACAGGUAUCCAGAUAACCUUCUCUUUACCUUGUCAUUUAUAGCCAUGAACGAUUAAGUUAUUAUUGUGUUGUUUGAAUUGACUUUGAUUUGUUUCUGUAGAAUCUUGCGCAUGACUCAUACUCACACUACUGUUCAGCACUCAAUGAUGACUUUUCUUCUUAGGGAAAAAUUGCGGGAAGAAAAACGGAUUAGUAUAAGAAAUAAAGAAUCUGUUGUUGACAUUGUUAGCAGAUGUAUCAUUGUAACAGUAUCCAAUGCUGUGAUGAUGAUGAUACCUUGUAUUAUUUGAAACUCAUAUAAUAUCCACGGAAGACUCAUGUAGCAUUUUUACCUUGGCCAAGUGGUGCUAAGUGGCCCCUGGUUAUAGGAGAGCAAAGCCCCACCAGGCAAAGAAGGGAAACACAAAUGGCUAGAGAUUUUGUUUCCAACUGAUUGUGAAUUUGGUGUUGAUUUCAGCAAUUUACAUGAUGUAAUCAGAUUGACAAUUUGGCAAUGCAUUGUUAGAAAUCAUUGAACAAGUUCGUAUUCCCAUAUGUUUGGUUUAAAUUCAAAGUUGAUGUUAACCAA
rnacentral:lncRNA from 1 species